AGAGAUUACACCGUGCCCUAGUCCUCCAUCUCGCUGGCAACCGAGUACCACUGCCGGUGUUCUCCCGUGCCUGAGCUUCAUCUCCUCUUCAGAGUAAGGUUGUUCGGAUGAGGUAACAACAAGUGAUUUCAGCAGUGAUUCGGCAGUGUAAAUUUGAGGUUUCCAGCAGCAAUCAACCCUUGUUGGCAGUAACAAACCUUCAGUGGAUCAGUGAUACUUGCUGUGAAUUUAGGUUUAUCGGUUUGGGAGAUUGGCAAUUUAAUCUUGCUCCGACUGUUGAUUUACAGUAGCAAUGUUUCCAACCAGAUUUGGACAAGUUGUAGAGGACCUUGACGCGAGACGGAUAUCUCGGCGUCGGAAUUUGACCGGAUACGAUCCUUUCUAUUUUCGGAGGCGGGUACUUUUGACUUAUGUCAUUUGAUAUACAUAGUAGUGAAUUUAACAAGCUGCAUUAAUUAUGUCCUUUAUUUCUUUCGGUUAGUCA